UAGUCCACGCCGUAAACGAUGAAAACUAGCUGUUUGGUGGCGACGACCGCUGAGUAGCGCAGCUAACGCGAUAAGUUUUCCGCCUGGGGAUUACGGCCGCAAGGCUAAAACUUAAAGGAAUUGACGGGGGCCCGCACAAGCGGUGGAACAUGUGGUUUAAUUCGAUGCAACGCGAAGAACCUUACCUACUUUUGACUUCCUCGAAAGCUGUUAGAGAUAGCAGUGUGCCUGAAAGGGAAUCGAGUGACAGGUGCUGCAUGGCUGUCGUCAGCUCGUGUCGUGAGAUGUUGGGUUAAGUCCCGUAACGAGCGCAACCCCUGUCCUUAGUUGCCAGCACAUUAUGGUGGGCACUCUAAGGAGACUGCCGGUGAUAAACCGGAGGAAGGUGGGGAUGACGUCAAGUCAUCAUGGCCUUUAUAAGUAGGGCUACACACGUGUUACAAUGGGUAUUACAGAGGGCUGCUAAACUGUGAAGUGGCGCAAAUCUCAGAAAAGUACUCGUAGUCCGGAUU
rnacentral:rRNA from 1 species